rnacentral:rRNA from 1 species
UACGGAGGGUGCGAGCGUUGUCCGGAAGUCACUGGGCGUAAAGGGCGCGUAGGCGGCCUGGCAAGUCGGUGGUGAAAGCUCGGGGCUCAACUCCGAGGUCGGCCAUCGAUACUGCGAGGCUCGAGUCGACUAGAGGCAGAUGGAAUUCCGGGUGUAGCGGUGGAAUGCGUAGAGGAUCCGGAAGAACACCGGUGGCGAAGGCGGUCUGCUGGGGUCGAAGCUGACGCUGGAGGCGCGACAGCGUGGGGAGCAAACAGG